rnacentral:rRNA from 1 species
CCAAUAGCGUAUAUUAAAGUUGUUGCAGUUAAAAAGCUCGUAGUUGAAUUUCGGGAUCAGUACGCUGGUCAUGCCUUUGGUAUGCACUGGUGUCACUGGUUUCUCCCUUCUGAAGAACCGUGAUGUCAUUAAUUUGGUGUCGCGGGGAAUCAGGACUGUUACUUUGAAAAAAUUAGAGUGUUUAAAGCAGGCUCGCGCUUGAAUACAUUAGCAUGGAAUAAUGAAAUAGGACGUUGAUCCUAUUUUGUUGGUUUCUAGGAUUGACGUAAUGAUUAAUAGGGAUAGUUGGGGGCAUUAGUAUUCAAUUGUCAGAGGUGAAAUUCUUGGAUUUAUUGAAGACUAACUACUGCGAAAGCAUUUGCCAAGGAUGUUUUCAUUAAUCAAGAACGAAAGUUAGGGGAUCGAAGACGAUCAGAUACCGUCGUAGUCUUAACCAUAAACUAUGCCGACUAGGGAUCGGAUGAUGUUAAUUUUUUAAUGACUCAUUCGGCGCCUUACG